CGGGGGCGGCAGGCUUAACAUGCAAGUCGAACGAUGAUUAUCUAGCUUGCUAGAUAUGAUUAGUGGCGGACGGGUGAGUAACAUUUAGGAAUCUGCCUAGUAGUGGGGGAUAGCUCGGGGAAACUCGAAUUAAUACCGCAUACGACCUACGGGUGAAAGGGGGCGCAAGCUCUUGCUAUUAGAUGAGCCUAAAUCAGAUUAGCUAGUUGGUGGGGUAAAGGCCCACCAAGGCGACGAUCUGUAACUGGUCUGAGAGGAUGAUCAGUCACACCGGAACUGAGACACGGUCCGGACUCCUACGGGAGGCAGCAGUGGGGAAUAUUGGACAAUGGGGGCAACCCUGAUCCAGCCAUGCCGCGUGUGUGAAGAAGGCCUUUUGGUUGUAAAGCACUUUAAGCAGGGAGGAGAGGCUAAUGGUUAAUACCCAUUAGAUUAGACGUUACCUGCAGAAUAAGCACCGGCUAACUCUGUGCCAGCAGCCGCGGUAAUACAGAGGGUGCGAGCGUUAAUCGGAAUUACUGGGCGUAAAGCGAGUGUAGGUGGCUCAUUAAGUCACAUGUGAAAUCCCCGGGCUUAACCUGGGAACUGCAUGUGAUACUGGUGGUGCUAGAAUAUGUGAGAGGGAAGUAGAAUUCCAGGUGUAGCGGUGAAAUGCGUAGAGAUCUGGAGGAAUACCGAUGGCGAAGGCAGCUUCCUGGCAUAAUAUUGACACUGAGAUUCGAAAGCGUGGGUAGCAAACAGGAUUAGAUACCCUGGUAGUCCACGCCGUAAACGAUGUCUACUAGCCGUUGGGGUCCUUGAGACUUUAGUGGCGCAGUUAACGCGAUAAGUAGACCGCCUGGGGAGUACGGCCGCAAGGUUAAAACUCAAAUGAAUUGACGGGGGCCCGCACAAGCGGUGGAGCAUGUGGUUUAAUUCGAUGCAACGCGAAGAACCUUACCUGGUCUUGACAUAGUGAGAAUCCUGCAGAGAUGCGGGAGUGCCUUCGGGAAUUCACAUACAGGUGCUGCAUGGCUGUCGUCAGCUCGUGUCGUGAGAUGUUGGGUUAAGUCCCGCAACGAGCGCAACCCUUUUCCUUAUUUGCCAGCGGGUUAAGCCGGGAACUUUAAGGAUACUGCCAGUGACAAACUGGAGGAAGGCGGGGACGACGUCAAGUCAUCAUGGCCCUUACGACCAGGGCUACACACGUGCUACAAUGGUAGGUACAGAGGGUUGCUACACAGCGAUUGAUGCUAAUCCAAAAAGCCUAUCGUAGUCCGGAUUGGAGCUGCAACUCGACUCCAUGAAGUCGGAAUCGCUAGUAAUCGCAGAUCAGAAUGCUGCGGUGAAUACGUUCCCGGGCCUUGUACACACCGCCCGUCACACCAUGGGAGUCUAUUGCACCAGAAGUAGGUAGCCUAACGCAAGAGGGCGCUACCCACCGGUGGUCGAUAGUUGAGGAGGGAGGAAAGAUUAAAAAUCUAGGCCCAAAAAAAGGGGGGGAGGGGGAA
rnacentral:rRNA from 1 species